CGGGAGGGAGCAGGGGGGAAUAAUGGAGCAAAGGGGGCAACCCUGAGGCAGCCAUGCCGCGUGAGUGAUGACGACCGUAGGGUGGUAAAGCUCGUUUCUCCGGGACGAUAAUGACGGUACCGGAGGAAUAAGCCCCGGGUAACUUGGUGCCAGCAGCCGCGGUAAUACGAAGGGGGCUAGCGUUGCUCGGAAUCACUGGGCGUAAAGGGCGCGUAGGCGGCUGAUUUAGUCGAGGGUGAAAGCCCGUGGCUCAACCACGGAAUGGCCUUCGAUACUGGUUGGCUUGAGACCGGAAGAGGACAGCGGAACUGCGAGUGUAGAGGUGCAAUUCGUAGAUAUUCGCAAGAACACCAGUGGCGAAGGCGGCUGUCUGGUCCGGUUCUGACGCUGAGGCGCGAAAGCGUGGGGAGCAAACAGCAUUGGAUACCCUGGUAGU
rnacentral:rRNA from 1 species